rnacentral:rRNA from 1 species
UACGUAGGGCGCAAGCGUUAUCCGGAAUUAUUGGGCGUAAAGAGCUCGUAGGCGGUUUGUCGCGUCUGCCGUGAAAGUCCGGGGCUCAACCCCGGAUCUGCGGUGGGUACGGGCAGACUUGAGUGCAGUAGGGGAGACUGGAAUUCCUGGUGUAGCGGUGAAAUGCGUAGAUAAUCUGGAGGAACACCGGUGGCGAAGGCGGCAUCCUGGACCGAGUAUGACGCUGAUGCGCGAAAGCCAGGGGAGCAAACGGGGAUUAAGAAACC